GGAAACUUUUAUUUCUUAGAAGCCAAAAAACCUGAAACACCAUAUAUUACAUACAAGUGCAAGUCACAAAGUAGGCACUCAAACGCACAUUUGUGGUUAUAUUAGGGACAAAAGAGUCACCCACCCACCCACCUCAUGUACCCCAUUGAUCCCUAAAGAGAUACAGAGGUUCUGAGCCCUAGAAUCCUAUCUGCCCCAUCCCCUCCUCCACUCACAAGAAUCCUUAGCACCCCUCCCCAUCACCCUCUGGUCCCUAGUCCCUGACCCCAAAGUCCUAGGGGUGGGGAACAGUGAGGGUGGGUCUCCCUUCUUCAAUUCCUUCUAUUGUUCCCCCGAAGUCUUAUCUGGGCUGAACGUCCUGUCUCCCCCUUAAGAGGCCCCUCCCCCCAUUGUCGGCCAGAGGGACCUCAGCCCCACAGGGAGGCUCCAGCUCCUCCUCACCACCCCCACCCUAGCAGUCUAUUGUCUGCUGAGGAAGCCCAAGUACACGUGACCAGGCCCAGGGGACAAAGGGACAGUGGCACACCGAUGACCAAGGACCCAGGACAGGGAAUCUGGACAUGGAUCUCUGCACGUUUAGCUUUCUCUGUCCCCGGGGCUGUUCCAGAAGUUGGGAGGGGUGAAGACCCCUUUGGCCUCUACAAUCUUGGGUCUAUGGCUUGAAGAGAAAUCCAUUCCUGUCCAGUGUGGAUAUGCCUUAUGACUUCCAAGACAGCAAAAAUAAGAAGACCCAGAGACUGAAGGGGCCGUGGUCUCCAGCAUCCUCUCCACCUCCCCAUUCUACCUCAGCUGAACAUGGAGGCCUCAGAAGGAAAGAGCUUCCUCAUCCCUCUGCAAAGCAGAACUGGAAAUUACUCUUUGUCAAGCAGGAAGUCACCUGUAGGCUCUUGACCACUCCCAUUUUAACCUACUGUCAUCAAGGUUUUCCUCUCCCAUUAGUCUGGAAUGGAGUAACACUCCCAGCUCCGGGAAAAAGGUUAGAUCCCUUCCUGCUGUGCCUGCCUGCACCUGAGCCAUCAUCUUUACAGAAUUGGAAAUAGUAUUUAAUUCCUUUCUCUGA